GAGAGGAAACAGUUUUGAAUGUGUGUCCCACCCCUCUGAUUAAAGCACAAUAUCAGACUGUCUGUUAGUCAGGACUGUCAAACCAACAUCACUGUUCCUUCAGUUCUCACUCAUUCACAGUAAAGAUGACAGCACACGCUCUCAUUAUCUGCUCUCUACUGCUUUUCAUUGCUGAGUGUAAUGGACAGAUCACAGUCACUCAGAGUCCCUCAACAACAGCAGCUCAACCAGGACAACAAGUUAAAAUAAACUGUAAAACCAGCAGUGAUGUCUACUACCACUGGGUUUUUGGUUAUGUAUACUACUUGAGCUGGUACUUACAGAAACCUGGAGAAGCUCCUAAACUCCUCAUAUAUGCUGCAACAACCCUCAACACUGGAACUCCAUCUAGAUUCAGUGGCAGUGGAUCUAAUAGUGAUUUCACUCUGACCAUCAGUGGAGUCCAGACUGAAGAUGCAGGACAUUAUUACUGUCAGAGUUAUCACUACAUCAACAGUAAAGAUGUGUUCACACAGUGAUAAAGAGUCGUACAAAAACCUCCUUCAGUGAAAGAGGAACUACUGAUACAGAAACAGUUUCUCUGAAUGUUACAUUAUAAAUUGACAUGGACACAAAGUUUUUGAUUUUUAUAUUUCACACUCAACACUACAUAUGAAACUGGACGACACAUUUUAUUAUAAAUUCAGUCAUUUUUGGUUUAUGUUUUACUGGCUGAUAUGACACUAGUCUUAAACUUUACUGACACCUAUCCAUGUGAAUACAGCGUCAUGCAAACAUAAAACAUUUGUUUUCACAGA